GAUAUUGGUCAUUGGGCGUGAUGGAGCAGCAGCAACUGAGAAACUUACGAGACUUCCUGUUGGUCUAUAAUCGGAUGACAGAACUGUGCUUCCAGUGCUGUGUGCCCAGCCUGCAUCACCGAGCUCUGGAUGCUGAGGAGGAAGCCUGCCUGCCCAGCUGUACUGGGAAACCCAUCCAGUUUAACCACCGCUUCAUGGCCGCUUAUAUGCACCUCAUGCCCACCCUGGUCCAGCGCCGCAUCGCAGAAUAUGAGGCUGACUUUGCUGCUCCAGGUGUUCCUGCAGAACAGACCAGAGACUUGCCAUCAGACAGCUAGCCGUCCCUGGCUCCAGGGAAGAAGGUGCUUGGAUGGGCUUCUCUAUGGACCUUGGGCUUAUCUAAAUGUGUACAGAGAGAUUGAGCUUGAAAGCUGGGUGCUGUUGCUUUUUUUCUUGGAGCCAAUAAACCCGUUUUUAUAGUCUG